UACGGAGGGUGCAAGCGUUGUUCGGAAUUAUUGGGCGUAAAGCGCGUGUAGGCGGUAGGGUAAGUCAGAUGUGAAAGCCCUGGGCUCAACCCAGGAAGUGCAUUUGAAACUGCUCUGCUAGAGUGGGGGAGAGGAGAGUGGAAUUCCUGGUGUAGAGGUGAAAUUCGUAGAUAUCAGGAGGAACACCGGUGGCGAAGGCGGCUUUCUGGCCCUUCACUGACGCUGAGACGCGAGAGCGUGGGGAGCAAACAGG
rnacentral:rRNA from 1 species